rnacentral:misc_RNA from 1 species
CGAGUUCGGGCGAGCGAUCGUGGGCCGCGACAACAGCAAAAAAAAGACAUGCGAAUGCCGCGGAACGCGAUCGUCGCCUAACGGUUCACCCGUAGAAGCACCGUUUAGAACGGGCAUCGCACGGACGAACGGUUCAAAUUUCGACGAACGAAUUCCAUCUUUGUAGGUAUGCAACACAGGAAACCGCACGCGACGGACGAGGCUAACGUCGCUCUCGCACCAACGAUUGAAGAAGACCGCACGAGAGGAUGUCGCUGCCCGAGCAGGGAUCC